ensembl:lncRNA
GUCUUAAUUUAUGGGUUCUGUUUCUUAUCGUCAGUUUCUAGGAAGUCCAACGUUCACAAAGAAGCUCAAUGACACUGUUAAAGGAGUCAGCAAUUCAAGUGUGAUCAGUAAGUCAAGUGUGUCUGUCACAGUGUUGAAGAAGAGAGCUGGGCGAGUGUCAGAAUAAACAACAUCUGCUUCCUCUUUCUCAUCAAUCCUGCUUCGUUACAGACUCACACAGCAUCUCUGAACUGUUGGAUCUUGAGCAACAGAUAAAAUGGUUUUCGCUGUACCUCAGAGAAUCCUCCUGAUCUGCCUGCUUCAGUUUUGCACUUGUGCAGUCGGUCAGAAUGUGGACCCCAAAACUCUCAUGAAUAUUGUAAAAAACUUUGAGAAUCAGUUGGGUAACAUGGGACAAUACGCUGUCGCCUUCAGUACUGAGAAGGACAACUGUCUUAAAGGUUCUGGCUAUCCAAGCAAGGACUUACUAACUAAAGUGAAAGAAAAACUUCAGCUGAAAGAGGUUUACGUGAGCGAUGACCUCAUUGCUGCAAAUCCGAAUGGAAAAGAUCAUUCAGAGUAUCGUCUGAAAAAUUAUCUGAAGAAUAUCUUGAAGGAUGAAAAUGAGUGUGUGGGUUUUUUCACUGUAAAUUCACCCUGUUUGAAAACAUGCCUAGCAGAAUCUGGGCCAUACAGCGUUAAAGACAGUCUUGUACUGUUAGAAAAGUAUGUGGGUAUUAAAGCCUUUGCGUUCAAAAAAAUUUGGACACAUGAUAAAAAGGAGGAUGUGAUAAAGAGACUGAAUGAAAUUGCACCUAAUUUGCCAUAUUAUCAGUGUGAGAAAAACAAAGCUAGAUGUGACAGACUGUAAGAAGAGUAAUGCUUGACAGUUGCUUUCCUCACAUAUAGAAAGUUUUAUUAAGCUGAGGAUUUUUUGUUUUGUUUUGAAUGCAGUAAACAUUAAAAUUGGUAGAUAAAAUCAAUCAUAUGUAAAAAAAAAAAAUCAUAAAUUUUGAAAGAUGACAAGUACUGUUAAAGUAAACUAAUGUUAGCAUGUCUGCUUACUGCUGGAGUGAAUAAAAAUACAUUUUAUUGAGCA